rnacentral:rRNA from 3 species
GGGAACCGUGAGACAGGUGCUGCAUGGCUGUCGUCAGCUCGUGUUGUGAAAUGUUGGGUUAAGUCCCGCAACGAGCGCAACCCUUAUCCUUUGUUGCCAGCGGUCCGGCCGGGAACUCAAAGGAGACUGCCAGUGAUAAACUGGAGGAAGGUGGGGAUGACGUCAAGUCAUCAUGGCCCUUACGACCAGGGCUACACACGUGCUACAAUGGCGCAUACAAAGAGAAGCGACCUCGCGAGAGCAAGCGGACCUCAUAAAGUGCGUCGUAGUCCGGAUUGGAGUCUGCAACUCGACUCCAUGAAGUCGGAAUCGCUAGUAAUCGUGGAUCAGAAUGCCACGGUGAAUACGUUCCCGGGCCUUGUACACACCGCCCGUCACACCAUGGGAGUGGGUUGCAAAAGAAGUAGGUAGCUUAACCUUCGGGAGGGCGCUUACCACUUUGUGAUUCAUGACUGGGGUGAAGUCGUAACAAGGUAACCGUAGGGGAACCUGC